rnacentral:rRNA from 1 species
GACGAACGCUGGCGGCGUGCCUAAUACAUGCAAGUUGAGCGCUGACGGUUGGUACUUUUCCCGUCUGGUGGAGCAGCGCACGGGGGAGUGACGCGUGGGGGAUCUUCCUUUGAGCGGGGGCAACAUUUGUAGACGCAUUCUAAUACCGCAUAAAAACUUUAAACACAAGUUUUAAGGUUCAAAGAUGCAAUUGCAUCACUCAAAGAUGAUCCCGCGUUGUAUUAGCUAGUUGGUGAGGUAACGGCUCACCAAGGCGAUGAUACAUAGCCGACCUGAGAGGGUGAUCGGCCACAUUGGGACUGAGACACGGCCCAAACUCCUACGGGAGGCAGCAGUAGGGAAUCUUCGGCAAAGGACGAAAGUCUGACCGAGCAACGCCGCGUGAGUGAAGAAGGUUUUCGGAUCGUAAAACUCUGUUGGUAGAGAAGAACGUUGGUGAGAGUGGAAAGCUCAUCAAGUGACGGUAACGAACAAGAAAGGGACGGCUAACUACGU